ACCCAUGCUCAAAAAUUCCAAAAAAGAGAAAGGAUGAAGGCGGCACUCACAAAUAGAAAAAAUAGUCGAUUAGAUCACUACACUCACAAAAGUAGAGGAAGAUAACCCACAUAUGGCUACCCUAUAUAGCUCACAAACCACACAGGAUCACAAAGAUAAAGAAGAAAAUGACUUCCUAUCUUUCUUUUCACUACCAUACUUUCUCACGCCAUUUAUAGAGCAAAAAGAGUAUAUCAUAGAUUUCAACACACUAUGCAUACAAACAUAUUAUACAAAGUAAUAAGAUCACACUA
rnacentral:lncRNA from 1 species